rnacentral:snRNA from 1 species
AGCUUUGUGCAGUGGCAGUAUCGUAGCCAAUGAGGUUUAUCCGAGGGGCGAUUAUUGCUAAUUGAAAACUUUUCCCAAUACCCCGCUGUGACGACUUGCAAUAUAGUCAGCAUUGGCAAUUUUUGACAGUCUCUACAGAGA